ACGGGAGGCAGCAGUGGGGAAUAUUGCACAAUGGGGGAAACCCUGAUGCAGCAACGCCGCGUGAGUGAUUGAAGUAUCUCGGUAUGUAAAGCUCUAUCAGCAGGGAAGAAAAUGACGGUACCUGACUAAGAAGCCCCGGCUAACUACGUGCCAGCAGCCGCGGUAAUACGUAGGUGGCAAGCGUUAUCCGGAUUUACUGGGUGUAAAGGGCGCGUAGGCGGGGCGACAAGUCAGGUGUGAAAUCCAUGGGCUUAACCCAUGAACUGCACUUGAAACUGCCGUUCUUGAGUGCUGGAGAGGUAGACGGAAUUCCUUGUGUAGCGGUGAAAUGCGUAGAUAUAAGGAAGAACACCAGUGGCGAAGGCGGUCUACUGGACAGUAACUGACGCUGAGGCGCGAAAGCGUGGGGAGCAAACAGGAUUAGAUACCCUGGUA
rnacentral:rRNA from 1 species